rnacentral:rRNA from 1 species
GUGACUGCGUACCUUUUGUAUAAUGGGUCAGCGACUUAUAUUCUGUAGCAAGGUUAACCGAAUAGGGGAGCCGCAGGGAAACCGAGUCUUAAUUGGGCGUUAAGUUGCAGGGUAUAGACCCGAAACCCGGUGAUCUAGCCAUGGGCAGGUUGAAGGUUGGGUAACACUAACUGGAGGACCGAACCGACUAAUGUUGAAAAAUUAGCGGAUGACCUGUGGCUGGGGGUGAAAGGCCAAUCAAACCGGGAGAUAGCUGGUUCUCCCCGAAAGCUAUUUAGGUAGCGCCUCGUGAAUUCAUCUCCGGGGGUAGAGCACUGUUUCGGCUAGGGGGCCAUCCCGGCUUACCAACCCGAUGCAAACUGCGAAUACCGGAGAAUGUUAUCACGGGAGACACACGGCGGGUGCUAACGUCCGUCGUGAAGAGGGAAACAACCCAGACCGCCAGCUAAGGUCCCAAAGUCAUGGUUAAGUGGGAAACGAUGUGGGAAGGCCCAGACAGCCAGGAUGUUGGCUUAGAAGCAGCCAUCAUUUAAAGAAAGCGUAAUAGCUCACUGGUCGAGUCGGCCUGCGCGGAAGAUGUAACGGGGCUAAACCAUGCACCGAAGCUGCGGCAGCGACACUGUGUGUUGUUGGGUAGGGGAGCGUUCUGUAAGCCUGCGAAGGUGGC